CUUGUACACACCGCCCGUCACAUCAUGGAAGCUGGCGUUGCCCAAAGUACGUUGACCUCACGGUCGCGUCCUAAGGCAAUGGUGGUAACUGGGAUG
rnacentral:rRNA from 1 species